rnacentral:rRNA from 12 species
CGCAACCCUUGUUCACUGUUGCCAGCACGUUAUGGUGGGGACUCAGUGGAGACCGCCGGGGUCAACUCGGAGGAAGGUGAGGACGACGUCAAAUCAUCAUGCCCCUUAUGUCUUGGGCUUCACGCAUGCUACAAUGGCCGGUACAAUGGGUUGCGAUACUGUGAGGUGGAGCUAAUCCCAAAAAGCCGGUCUCAGUUCGGAUUGGGGUCUGCAACUCGACCCCAUGAAGUCGGAGUCGCUAGUAAUCGCAGAUCAGCAACGCUGCGGUGAAUACGUUCCCGGGCCUUGUACACCC